CAAUAAAGUACUGGAGGUAUGUAAGCUUGGAUGCCGUGAAGCAGGAGUGUGAACCCAAAAGGAUGCUUCUUUUGUAAAAGCCUUCUGUUGUGCUGAGGUGCCACCUCCACUUCCCCUUCCCAACUCAAUUGAAGGUUCAAGUAUUAUCCCUAGAUCACCACAGACCUCGCUUUCAGUCUGGGAUUGCUGUAGCACAGCUCUUUUGUGGAGGAAAAAUGAUGUGAUGACCCACUGGGGGGGCAGGGGGGGCCCUGAGUGACCUCCCUUGUGGGAAUUUUCUUGUCCUGCUUGGACUGUUCAUGAAAGUGAAGACUGCAUUUUUGGUAAGACUUAGCCUAAGGUACGACAUGCUGCAUCUAUAUGACGGUGAAAAUCUUCAAAUAAAAUGUGAGUAUGUGUAUGUAUUAGAAAUGGAGACCUGAUACUAC